rnacentral:rRNA from 1 species
UACGAAGGGGGCUAGCGUUGUUCGGAUUUACUGGGCGUAAAGCGCACGUAGGCGGAUCGUUAAGUCGGGGGUGAAAUCCUGGAGCUCAACUCCAGAACUGCCUUCGAUACUGGCGAUCUUGAGUCCGGAAGAGGUGAGUGGAACUCCUAGUGUAGAGGUGAAAUUCGUAGAUCUUAGGAAGAACACCAGUGGCGAAGGCGGCUCACUGGCCCGGUACUGACGCUGAGGCGCGAAAAGCGUGGGGAGCAAACAGGG